rnacentral:rRNA from 1 species
GACGAACGCUGGCGGCGUGCCUAAUACAUGCAAGUAGAACGCUGAAGAGAGGAGCUUGCUCUUCUUGGAAGAGUUGCGAACGGGUGAGUAACGCGUAGGUAACCUGCCUUGUAGCGGGGGAUAACUAUUGGAAACGAUAGCUAAUACCGCAUAACAAUGGGUGACCCAUGUCAUUCAUUUAAAAGGGGCAACUGCUCCACUACAAGAUGGACCUGCGUUGUAUUAGCUAGUAGGUGAGGUAACGGCUCACCUAGGCGACGAUACAUAGCCGACCUGAGAGGGUGAUCGGCCACACUGGGACUGAGACACGGCCCAGACUCCUACGGGAGGCAGCAGUAGGGAAUCUUCGGCAAUGGGGGCAACCCUGACCGAGCAACGCCGCGUGAGUGAAGAAGGUUUUCGGAUCGUAAAGCUCUGUUGUAAGUCAAGAACGAGUGUGAGAGUGGAAAGUUCACACUGUGACGGUAGCUUACCAGAAAGGGACGGCUAACUACGUGCCAGCAGCCGCGGUAAUACGUAGGUCCCGAGCGUUGUCCGGAUUUAUUGGGCGUAAAGCGAGCGCAGGCGGUUUGAUAAGUCUGAAGUUAAAGGCUGUGGCUCAACCAUAGUUUUGCUUUGGAAACUGUCAAACUUGAGUGCAGAAGGGGAGAGUGGAAUUCCAUGUGUAGCGGUGAAAUGCGUAGAUAUAUGGAGGAACACCGGUGGGCGAAAGCGGCUCU